rnacentral:rRNA from 1 species
GGGGGAUAUUGCACAAUGGGCGCAAGCCUGAUGCAGCGACGCCGCGUGAGGGAUGACGGCUUUCGGGUUGUAAACCUCUUUCGCUACCGAACAAGGCUCCAUUUUUGUGGGGUUGAGGGUAGGUGGAUAAGAAGCGCCGGCUAACUACGUGCCAGCAGCCGCGGUAAUACGUAGGGCGCGAGCGUUGUCCGGAAUUAUUGGGCGUAAAGAGCUCGUAGGCGGCUUGUCGCGUCUGCUGUGAAAGCGCGGGGCUUAACUCCGGGCGUGCAGUGGGUACGGGCAGGCUAGAGUGUGGUAGGGGUGAUUGGAAUUCCUGGUGUAGCGGUGGAAUGCGCAGAUAUCAGGAGGAACACCGAUGGCGAAGGCAGGUCACUGGGCCAUUACUGACGCUGAGGAGCGAAAGCAUGGGGAGCGAAC